CGCCUGCAGGCCUGGCAGGCUGCCUGGAGGUGGUGUGAGGACAACCCCAGUGAGUGUAGAUAUUGGGGAGCCGCCUUCCCCCAGGCAAGGCUGGGAGGACUUUCCGGGGUUCUGCGGCACCGCCCCAUUUUUACACGGCCCUAGUUCUGCGCGGUGCUCGUCCAGUGCGCAGGCGCCGAGGAGGAGUGCUGCUUUACUUGGUGUCGGGCCACAGGGAGGCGCUAUGGGCGCAAGGGAAAGCUGCCCGCCUGCGACAGGGUUUUCCUGGACUUUGACUGGGGGCUGGGGCGGGCUUGGGGUGGAGCAAUCAAUAAGACAAUUAAGGAGC